rnacentral:rRNA from 1 species
GGGAAAGUUGAAAAGAACUUUGAAGAGAGAGUUCAAUAGUACGUGAAACCUCUCGGGGGUAAGCGGGCAGAACUUGCAAGUAUUGGCUGGGAAUAUUCAGGCUUAAUGUUGGCGACUGAGAGUGUAUUAUAAAGUUGUCCUUUUGGGGAUUGGCUGAUGUGUGCUCUUUGAUUUGUUGACGAUGCGCCGCAUUUAUUUCCGUCAUCGGGUUGCAUGUGACUGAGCCUGUAGUUUAGGUGCUGAGAUCCUGCGAAGCCUUGUUGUUUCGAGUCUUUGGUUUCCGACUACGGCUGCGGUCAUUAUAUCUUUUACUGGACAGGCGUUUAGGCGCGGUCAAUGGUUUGUACGAGUUGUGUGCAUGUUGUAUGUGGACGGGUAACCGUAGCAUACGAUAUGAGGCUGAUUGUCGGUAUGAGCUAAUUUG